AAAAAUCCAAAAUUUUACCAGAGCAACUGAUAUACUUUAACAGUAUGACUGGUGUUGUCCCUUCACAAGAUUCCUUUGGUACACUGAAAGACGGCACGCAAGUAUCGAGAUUUAGUUUUACAAAUAAAAAUAAUGUGACUGUCCGUGUGAUCAAUUAUGGCGCAACUAUUACUGAUAUUCUUCUCCCGGACAAAAACGGAACAGUUGAAGACAUAAGCCUUGGUUUUGAUAGCGUUCAAGGUUCGUGAAAUGUUGGAUGUUUAUUACUUUUUUAUCACAAUUUGAAAUUCAUUAAAUGGUACAAUUAAUAUUUUUUUUUAAUUUUACAUUUGUAUUCAUAUGCGUUUAAAAUAAUACAUUUUUAAAAAAUCUUGUUUUGAAGCUGCUGUAAUAGGAUUGCAGGUGUUCCUAAAUGUUGGAAUAUUUCAGAAUACGAGUCUCAGCAUUCCUACAUUGGGGCUGCUUUAGGACGCGUGACUGAAAGGAUAAAAGGCGCGAAAUUUGAAAUUGACGGCGUGGAGUAUAAAGUAUCUGCAAACGACAACAACAUUCACCAGGUUCAUGGAGGAACUUCUGGUUUUGACAGGAAAAUGUUUACGGCUUCAAUCGACGACGAUACUGUUGUGAUGAAAUACGUCAGCCCUGACGGCGAGGAAGGCUUUCCGGGAGAAGUCACGGCGGAGUUCACCUUCCGGUUGACGGAGGAAAACGAGUUAAUUUUGGGAUACACAGCUACCACAACCAAACCCACCCCAGUCAACCUAUCAAAUCACGUGUACUUUAAUCUAGCUAGUCACGUAAGAAUUUCAAUAUCAUCAUUAGUUUCCAUUUAAUUAAUAUCAACCGAUAUCAAUAAACCAGUAUGUGAAGAAUAUAUUUAUAAACAAAAAUCGAGAUACUGCUGUCAAAAAAACUUCAUCCACAUUUUUUUUUCAAAAAUGUAAAACAUAGCUCGUCUGAAAGUUGAUAGUGGGCAAGUAUUAAGGUAGAGGAAGAUCCAGUAUGAAUUAAUCUGCUCACGUUCUAAUUACACUUCUGCACCUUUCAUUGUACAUUCGUAAUCAUCGAUACUCAUCUUAUGUAGCACAGUCAGACACUUGACAGCAAACAUUUAAUCGAAUAUCAAAGGUUCAGUUGCGCGUUGUGAAUGUAUUUGUUGUUUUUUUUUUAUUUCGAACACUUCUAACAGGGAGCGGGGAAUGUAGGCGACCACAUUCUGACGGUAAAUUCCUGUCGCCACAUUCCGUUGGACAAAGAAUACAUACCACUAGGGGACGGGACUAUAUCUGAUGUAAAGGGAACGCCCUUCGACUUGACCACGCCCACUCAGCUGAGGGAGCGAAUGAAAGACGUGCUGGUGUCUAACUACGUGUUUGAAGGUCAUGGAAAGAAGAAACAUGUUGCUAAACUCGAACUACCAUCCACCGGCCGAACGGUCGAUUGCUUCACAACGGAACCGUGUAUGGAGACUUACUUCUCUUGUGCCAUGAGAACUAUGAAGGGCAAGAAUGGCGCUUCAUACGGGGCUUAUGAAAAUGGCGGGAUAUGUCUAAUACCUAUGCAAUACACCAGUGCUGUUAAUAUGCCCAAUUUUCCAAACAUGAUUUUGCAGCCAGGACAGACAUACACGCAAACAACGUCAUACAAAUUCGGGUUCUAGUGGAUUCCCGGUAACUAUUCACCGAGGAGCUCCAGAGACUACAGAAACAUUCAACACUAACACCGAGGAAGCUAUUGUUAAAGGAAAUCAUUAAAUCAUUGAACAUU
rnacentral:misc_RNA from 1 species